UGUUUAAUAAAAACAUUUCCAAAUUUAAUUUUUGGUAAGCUCUGCCCUAUGCUUUGGUAAAUGGCCAUUUUAUGCUAAGGUAGCAUAAUUACUUGCUUCUUAAAUAGAUGACUGUCUGAAAGAGUUAACUGUGAAUUUUUAUUUUUGUGGUAAAUUUGAAUUUUGUAUUUUGUAAAAACCCAAUUUUAACAUAAAAGACGAGAAGACCCCAGAAUUUAUUACUUGGGAGUGUUUGAUGGGGCGUUGGCUUCUUUUUCAGAAUUUUUUAGAUAAGAGGUAAAAAAAAUUACUCUGGGGGUAACAGGGCAAUCUAAAAUAAAGCUCAUAUUAAAAUUUAGGAUUGCUACCUCGAUGUUGAAUUAGGCUAAAUCCUUAGGGCAAAAAAUAAGGUUAUGGGCCUGUUCGGCCUUUAUAAGCUUACAUGAUUUGAGUUUAAACCGG
rnacentral:rRNA from 1 species